rnacentral:misc_RNA from 1 species
AACGCACAUUGCGCCCUGUGGUAUUCCGCAGGGCAUGCCUGUUCGAGCGUCAUUUCAACCCUCAAGCUCUGCUUGGUGUUGGGCCACGCCCCCGCGGCCGGCCCCAAAGCUAGUGGCGGUGCCGUCUGGCUCUAAGCGUAGUACAUCUCUCGCUCUAGGGCCCGGCGGUUGCUUGCCAGAACCCACACUCUUAUGGUUGACCUCGGAUCAGGUAGGGAUACCCGCUGAACUUAA